CUCACAGAGUCUCCUGAUCACAAGACCCAGCCGUGAUUCAGAGGCUCUCCAGCGUCCUGUGCAGACAUUCCUGGUCAGGCUGUUCUCCUGGCUUGCAAGUGGCAUGGAUUCCUUCUGCU